UGGGGGAUAUUGCACAAUGGGCGAAAGCCUGAUGCAGCGACGCCGCGUGGGGGAUGAAGGCUUUCGGGUUGUAAACCUCUUUCGCUAUCGAACAAGGCCCGCUUAGGGUGGGUUGAGGGUAGGUGGAGAAGAAGCGCCGGCUAACUACGUGCCAGCAGCCGCGGUAAUACGUAGGGCGCGAGCGUGGUCCGGAAUUAUUGGGCGUAAAGGGCUUGUAGGCGGCUUGUUGCGCCUGCUGUGAAAACGCGGGGCUUAACUUCGCGCGUGCAGUGGGUACGGGCAGGCUUGGGUGUGGUAUGGGUGACUGGAAUUCCAGGUUUAGCGGUGGAAUGCGCAGAUAUCUGGAGGAACACCGAUGGCGAAGGCAGGGCACUGGGCCAUUACUGACGCUGAGGAGCGAAAGCAUGGGUAGCGAACAGG
rnacentral:rRNA from 1 species